rnacentral:rRNA from 1 species
UACGGAGGGGGCUAGCGUUGUUCGGAAUUACUGGGCGUAAAGCGCACGUAGGCGGCUUUGUAAGUUAGAGGUGAAAGCCCGGGGCUCAACCCCGGAAUAGCCUUUAAGACUGCAUCGCUUGAACACGGGAGAGGUGAGUGGAAUUCCGAGUGUAGAGGUGAAAUUCGUAGAUAUUCGGAAGAACACCAGUGGCGAAGGCGGCUCACUGGACCGUUGUUGACGCUGAGGUGCGAAAG